rnacentral:lncRNA from 1 species
UCUCUUGUUUAUUCUUCUUUUAAGUUCUACUCGUUUGCUUGAUGAAUUUGAUUUAUUGCUCAGAGGAAGAUUGUUAGGGAUUUGCGUAUUGAUAUGCUUUUUGGAUUGUAUAAUCAAGACAUUGUUUAUCUGUUUUGCCGCGAUUUGGGAUAUUUGAUGCAAUGGAUAAGAACGGAGAAUGGCUUUAGAGGAAUCAAAUUUCUUCAGUAAUUUUUAUUCCACGAAUUUUCCAGAUUGUUUGUUUCGUCAUGGCUUGAUGUUAGGGUUUGUUAUCGUGUUUUCUUAAUGGAUUUCGUUGCAGCGUGUUUUCUUAAUGGAUUUGCGCUGCGUCUUCCUCAGAUUGCUGAUUGUGUUUCCUUAAUGGAUUUCGAUUCUUAAUGGAUUUCGUUGCAGCGUGUUUUCUUAAUGGAUUUGCGCUGCGUCUUCCUCAGAUUGCUGAUUGUGUUUCCUUAAUGGAUUUCGUUGCGGCUUAAUAAGUUUUCUUAGAUUGCUGAUCGUGUUUACUUGAUAGAUUUACGUUGCGUCAGGUUGCUGAUAGUGUUUUCUUAAUGGAUUUGCAUUGCGUUCAGGUUGCUGAUCGCGCUUUCUUAAUGGAUUUGCGAUGCAUGCUUCAGAUUGUUGAAGCACACACAUGAAACUGACUUGGACACAAGUUUUCAUUUGAUAAGUAAGAGAUAUGUUUAACCAUUAUGCAGCAAAGCCAGGACUAGCUUCAUAUCUAAAACCUUAAGAACAGAGAACAGCUCCAGAUAGAACAGCUCCAGAUAGAUAAAUUUAACGUCUUCAACGAGUCUUUUUCUUUUCUUUUUUUCGCCUUUAUUGCCAGACAUGCAAAUUGAAUUUCGAACAUGUUUUGCUGCAGCAGCUUGCUUUGUCAAAACAAUAACCUUCUUCGAAGCAUGCAUCAGCCUAGCUUUUUGAUUUGGUGAUAUCUAUAAAAUUAUUUUUAUUUUCAAUUUUGAGAGCGUAUUUUUCUUGAAGUUGUCUUUUGAUCUUGUACAAGUUGUUGAGGUUUGUGUUUCUUCAGUGUUGAGGUUUUUGUGUUUCUGUUAUCAGGGACUUAGAUCUUUGGCUAAGUGCAAAUUAUGGAAUUAGAUACUAUCUUUGAAUCUUUGAUACAGCCCAAGCACUGUUGUGUCAUGUGUCAGAUACCGAUGCUUCCUACUUUGGCUGCACUUUAAUUUGGUCAUCACUACCAAGAAUUUUAAGCAUUAGUUUUGCAGGGAGAUGCAUUUAUCCGUUUUGCAGCAAGCUGAGAAAUAAGGUGGAUAUCCAGAAUGCCUUGAUACAACAACCAGAUUGCUGUUAGGGUUUGUUAUCGUGUUUUCUUAAUGGAUUUCGUUGCAGCGUGUUUUCUUAAUGAUUUGUGCUGCGUCUUCCUCAGAUUGCUGAUUGUGUUUCCUUAAUGGAUUUCGUUGCGGCUUAAUAAGUUUUCUUAGAUUGCUGGUCGUGUUUACUUAAUGGAAUUAGUUUUCUUAGAUUGCUGAUCGUAUUUUCUUAAUGGAUUUGCGCUGUGUCUUAUAUGUUUUCUUAGAUUGCUGAUCGUGUUUACUUGAUAGAUUUGCGUUGCGUCAGGUUGCUGAACUGUUUUCUUAAUGGAUUUGCAUUGCGGUUGCUGAACUGUUUUCUUAAUGGAUUUGCAUUGCGGUUGCUGAUCGCUGAUCGCGUUUUCUUAAUGGAUUUGCGAUGCAUGCUUCAGAUUGUUGAAGCACACAUAUGAAACUGACUUGACACAAGUUUUCAUUUGAUAAGUAAGAGAUAUGUUUAACCAUUAUGCAGCAAAGCCAGGAUUAGCUUCAUAUCUAAAACCUUAAGAACAGAGAACAGCUCCAGAUAGAUAAAUUUAACUUCUUCAACGAGUCUUUUUCUUUCUUUUUUUCGCCUUUAUUGCCAGACAUGCAAAUUGAAUUUCGAACAUGUUUUGCUGCAGCAGCAGCUUGGUUUGUCAAAACAAUAACCUUCUUCAGAGCAUGGAGCUUAGCAUUUCAAUUUUUGAUUUGGUGAUCUCCAUUAAAUUCUUUUUAUAUUGAUUAUAUUUUUUGGUUCUGAAACCAUAUCUUCUUUGAUUUGGUGUUUACUCUCUGGUGUUGAUUCAAGUUUUUAUAUUCCUACUCUCUCUUUUCCUUGGUUACAUUGGGUCUUAUGAUGAAGGGGUUUGAUCUGGUUCUUGCUGGUUUUGAACUUGGAGUUUGCUCUUCUUUUUUUAAUGGUCUUGUUUAGGUGUUAAUUUAUUGUUCUUUGAAUUCUAUUUUGAUAAUUUGUGUAGUUUUUCUAUAUAAUAAUGCUUCAUUUGAUAAACAUUCAAUGCUGUCAAAUUUAAACGAAUAUUGACAUGUGAUUAUCUGUAUUGCAGCGAGCUGAUUUCGAGGUAUCUGGAUCAGUUUGCAAUUCUUGAUUACAAUGGAUAAGAACGAUUAUGAUUGCAAUUCUUUAUUAUUUUUAUUUUCAGACUUUGAUCACAAAAUAUACAAUUUGAAAUCUAAACCUGUUUUUUUGCAGCUUUAUUUGUUAGUAUAAGUUUCAAUAGAUCAUGGAGCCUGCGUUUUGUUUUGGUGAUCUCUUUUAAAAUCUCUUAGUUUUCUAAAACUCUUUAUUCCUUUUGAAAUAAAUAUUAUUCUUGAUCUUUUAUUUUCUCUGGUGCGUUUCAGGAAAAGUAGUUUGUGAGCAUAUUAUUCUUCGGGUUUUGUAUUAUGGUUCCUUUAUGGUUUCUUGAUAUUGGGGUUUCAUUUUGUUCUGGAUUUUAUUGCCAUACAUGUGAAUUGAAAUAUGGCUCUAGUUUUUUUGGUACUGAGAAAUUGAUAUGAAAUAAUGGUGAUAUUUUGCAUUUAUCACCUUACAUGAAUUGCGAAUUGAAAUAUGUACUGUUUUCUGUUAUGUAGUGUGUUUUGCAUCAAUAGUGUUUUGUGUAGUAUCAAGCUAUGUGUAAUCAAGAAAUCAGUUUUUUUUUUAAUAUACUCUUCUUGGAUUGUGAAUUAUCCUCGGUUUAUUCUUUUAAAAGUAUAUCCUCUUCCUUGCAGUUGUCAAAGUACUCCAGUGUAUUGUGUCAUUUCAUAUGGGCACAAAGUCUUGCAAAUUGGAUGGAAGUUUGUCCCACUGAAUCAUAUCAUCUUUUGCAGGCUGUGUCUAAUACUUCAUAAUCUGUUUCUAGGCCUUAAUUUGGCCAUCUAUGCUCACUCUUCACAUUUCAGUCUUUUUUAUACUCAGCUUUUGUCAGUCCCUUGUGAUAUGAUAUGGAACGUGUGACAGGAAGAUGUUCGCAUACUGUGUUCAACCUGGGAAAAGAUCGAUUGUUGUAUUACUUGGAUAUGUGUGUAAGCUUUCGGAUUUGUGAUAGUUGUUUCCUUUGAAGGCAUGUCUUGCUAUAGUUGGAGUUGUUGUGUUUCUGCAUUAGGAACGUGAAUAGAUGAAGCAUACAAAAUUCUAAAGUACAUCUUAGGGAGGUUGAGGAAUUUUGGACAACAUGGUUUGGCAUUCUAUUGUUCGGGGGUAUUUGCCUGUUAUAAUUAUUUUCCCUAUUUUCCUUUUCAAUUGUAGUUAUAUCUGAGCAGAGAAAAAUAAGAUUCUUUUUCCCCAAAUGAGUGUCCCCCACAAAAUCUGUAUUGCAGCAGCACCAGAAUCUGCAAUUUGCUGCUGUGUUGUCUUCUUCAUGUUGUGAUCUCCUCUGAUGAUUCUUGCACGCUUCCAUAGUUGGCGUCAACAGGAUGUUUGACUUUCUCUUAGCUAAGGCAUGGUAAAUAAUGUUCUUAAUAGUGCAGAGUUCUCUUGUCACUUUGUUUUCCAGAUUUCUUUAUCUCAAUGUCUGAAGAGCAUAUAUUUGUUUGAUUUUGUUAUCUUCCUCUUUUGGUGUUACAGGAGAUGUAAUAUAUAUGAUCACAAUUCCUUCGGAUCAAUUCUUCCUCUUCUUGAUAUUCAGAGUUUUUAUAAUUCCUACUCUCUCUUUUUCCUUGGUUACAUUGGGGUCUUAUGAUGAAGGGGUUUGAUCUGGUUCUUGCUGGUUUUGAACUUGGAGUUUGCUUCUUUCUUUUUUUAAUGGGUCUUGUUUUAGGUGUUAAUUUAUUGUUCUUUGAAUUCAUUUUUGUAUUUGUGUAGUUUUUUUUCAUAUAAUAAUGCUUUCCAUUUGAGUAAACAUUCAAGUGCUGUCAAUUAAACGAAUAUUGACAUGUGAUUAUCUGUAUUGCAGCGAGCUGAUUUUCGAGGUAUUCUGAUCGUUGCAAUUCUUUGAUUACAAUGGAUAAGAACGAUUAUGAUUGCAUUCUUUAUUAUUUUUAUUUUUCAGACUUUGAUCACAAAAUAUACAAUUUGAAAUCUUAAACCUGUUUUUUCAGCUUUAUUUUUAGUCAUAAGUUUCAAUAGAUCAUUCGGAGCCUGCGUUUUGUUUUGGUGAUCUCUUUUAAAUCUCUUAGUUUUCUAAAACUCUUUUAUUCCUUUUGAAAUUAAAUAUUAUUCUUGAAUCUUUUAUUUUCUCUGGUUGCGUUUCUAGGAAAAGUCAGUUUGUGGCAUAUUAUUCUUCGGUUUUGUAUUAUGGUUCCUUAUGGUCUUGAUAUUGGCGGUUUCCAUUUUUUCUGGAUUUUAUAUGCCAUACAUGUGAAUUGAAAAUAUGGCUCUAGUUUUUUUGGUAUAUGAGAUUCUUUCAUAUUGGAUUUCUUCUCUGAUGAUUCGUUGUCUAUUGAUGUUUUCAUAAACGAUCAGUCUUCAGGGUUGUUAACAUCAUUACUACUUUUGUCUUACAAAUUGUUUGUUCUACAUUUGGGUUUUUGUAUUCAGAAAGUGCAAAGUUUACUAAUUUUUCUAGAACAUCGGACAAAUGGUAGGCAACUCUCUCUCUGUUAUCCGGAAUCUGCAACUUGGUUUGGAGAGUGGUAUGCUAUAUUCUUUCUUAUCAUCUUGGUUCCUUUUUUCUACACCUAUCUGGCGUUUAAUUUUCUCUACAUUUAUCGUAUUUGCUGACAGAGAAACUUUGCUGUACAACAGAAGUUUUCUUAAUUCUGAAUCACACUCACAUUUUUAUUUGGUCUAUAGUGGAGAAAUUGGAGAUGAGUGUCUCUGCUGCUUUGUAUAAAUUAUCUUUGGUGAACGAAUUCUUGACGACUUGAUUUGGCUCGCUUUUUUCUACAUUCUCCCAAGUGGAUAUUUAUCGAAGUGGGGAUGCCGAAAUUUUUUCCGUUUCAUAUGGACUGUAUAUUUGUUCCACAAUAGUCCUCCCUUGAUAUUGCAUGCACAACGUUGCUGAACAGAAUUGUGGAGCAUAUCUCUUCUCGCUGCGGCCUUCUCCGUUUUUAAUCAAAUUGUGGCCGUGUUUGAUUUGAUGAUCUACAUCUAAAGAGAGUUAUUCUUGCACUAUUUUACUGUUUGUUUCUUUUAUUUCUGUUAUAUUGGAAUAGGAAUUCGUUUCCUCUCUAAGGAUUUCAUUGGGCACCAGAAUUCAUUAAUGGAACCAUCAUGUUCUGCAGACUGUAAGAUAAUCUCUAAGGAAUUCGAGUCAUAAACGUUUCUGUAGAAAACUUGUUUCAUUUUGUAGAGUGAACAGCGUGGUUUGGGAAAGUAUCUCCAUCCGGUAAUUGUGCUUUGAUCAUAGUUGAGUCCAAAAUAGUUGCAAUUGAUGGCAUUGUUCCAAACAUAAAUAUUCUGUUGGUUGUGUCCUAUGUCUCACUAUUUCUAGAUGUUUAAUCAGGGAUCUAUGUCAAAAAAAAUCUUCUAUUUGUAUAUAGAUACUUUAUUCUUUAUUGUUAUAUUUAAUCUGAAGAUCAUUGUGAUUCAUAUAGAUUUUGGAAUUCAAUAUAGUAAUGUGGUGUUUGAUAGUGUUGUUGAGUUCAUUUUGGAUUUUGUUUUGGAUUAGUCAAAAGUUCAUUAAGACUUGCAGCAAUCUUUGUGUAAUCUAAUCUAGAUGUUCAGUCUGCUCAAUAUUGGUAAACGGACUAGAACACCGGCUCUCUUUCAUCUCAACUGUUGAUCUACAACUACUUGGUAGUCUACAGACAAACCAAAGAUGAGUAGUAUCUCAACUAUAUACGUGUGAUUCUGCGUCACAAUCAGGUAUUUUUUAAUUCAUUUUUUUAUUCAUAUUUUUAAAGUUUCACCUCAUUCAUAUACUAACUUGAGCGUCGGACUGCUAACCUUUUUUGCAGGUACCCCUCUGACCCCAAAACGAAAGUCUUACCGCGGUAGUUGUCUUCGUCUUCAGCCUUACAUCGUUUCAGUAUGGAAUAGUUAUAAUUGAAUGUUCUAAAUCUUCUUCAUAAUAGUCUUUUGCAUGCAUGCUGAAGUUCUGAUGUUUUUUUUUGUUUUGUCAAUGGAGUGCUAGAUAAUGUUUCUUAGAUUGCUGAUUGUGUUUACUUGAUAGAUUUGAGUUGCGACAGGUUGAUAGUGUUUUCUUAAUGGAUUUGCAUUGCGUUCAGGUUGCCGAUCGCGUUUUCUUAAUGGAUUUGCGAUGCAUGCUUCAGAUUGUUGAAGCACACACAUGAAACUGACUUGACACAAGUUUUCAUUUGAUAAGUAAGAGAUAUGUUUAACCAUUAUGCAGCAAAGCCAGGAUUAGCUUCAUAUCUAAAACCUUAAGAACAGAGAACAGCUCCAGAUAGAUAAAUCAAACUUCUUCAAAUUGAAUUUCGAACAUGUUUUGCUGCAGCAGCUUGGUUUGUCAAAACAAUAACCUUCUUCAAAGCAUGCAUCAGCCUGGCUUUUUGAUUUGGUGAUAUCUAUAAAAUAAUUUUUGUUUUCAAUUCUGAGAGCGUAUUUUUCUUGAAGUUGUCUUUUGAUCUUGUAUAAGUUGUUGAAGUUUGUGUUUCUUCCGUGUUGAGGUUUUUGUGUUUCUAUUAUCAGGGACUUAGAUCUUUGGCUAAGUGCAAAUUAUGGAAUUAGAUACCAUCUUUGAAUCUUUGAUAUAGCCCAAGCACGUCUCAGUGUCGUGUGUCAGAUACUGACGCUUCCUACUAUGGCUGCACUUUAAUUUGGUCAUCACUACCAAGACUUUUACGCUUUAGUCUUUGUUUGAUUUGAUACACAACAUCUACUUUUGUCGGAUUCUUUGAGUUGUGUGAGUUUUGCAGGGAGAUGCAUUUAUCCCGUUUCGCAGAAAGCAUGGUGGAUAUCCAGAAUGCCUUGAUACAACAACCAGAACAGGAAAUAACUCUAGAUAGCUAAAUCAAUUUUUUAUGGGUCAUUCUUUACUAUUUUUAUUUCCGACCUUUGAUUGCAAGGCAUACAAAUUAAUUUCUGAAGUGUUUUGCUUCAGCGUGGUUGUUUCCAACUAAUAACCUUCUUCAGGGCAUGGAGCUUAGCAUUUCAAUUUUUGAUUUGGUGAUCUCCAUUAAAUUCUUUUUAUAUUGAUUCUAUUUUUUGGUUCUGAAACCAUAUCUUCUUUGAUUUGGUGUUUACUCUCUGGUGUUGCAGGAUAUU